AUGGUAUAGAGAAAUAUGUGUUAUUAACAGUUACACAAUAAAUUUCACAAUAAAGGCAGACACAUUCGUUUUGUUUGCACUUUUAAACACUGCAAUGGCAGACAACCAAAGCCCCUCCCCCAUUUAUUAUGUGUGGAUCAUUCCCUUCUUUCUAAAGCAUAUGUUAAAUAUUUAAUUAAAUGAUUUCACAAAUUUAGGCAAGGUUUAAAACAUAUGUAUCCAUCUAUUUAUAUUACGGUUGUCAAAAUUAUAUUAAAAGUGUGUAAAUUUUAACUACAAAAAGGUUUUCAAAUCCACCAAUAGGACCGCAGAAACAACCAGCAUGGUAAUGUGGACCCAACAAAACUUAAUCGAAUAUGUAAAAUUUACUACAAAAACGGCAUUUCCCGGGCUCUUUUCAUUAAUCAUGAAUUAAAUAUAGCAUAACUUACAUGGACAAAACAUGAUUUGUAACUUAUUUUAAAAAGACAACCAUCGUUGGAAAUACUUGCUCCGUUUACAAAUGCGUUUCGAGCCUAUCAAGGCGUUGCAUUAGUGAGGUACAUCCUUACCUGUUACCUUAGAAAUAAGGUUUCAGAGCAUGAUGAUUGGAUUACAUGAAUACGUGAUUAUGUUCCGUAUUUGUUAAGGGCCGCAACCCCUUAAUGAUCCUUUCUGAGCCACACUUAUAUGGUUUAUAAUUUCAGAAAAAGUAGUGCUGUUAAUAAUGUAUUAGUUAUUUGGGAGUGUUUAGUAUGAGAAAUAAACCAUCGUUCUAUUAAUGAACAUACGUAUAGAAUCGCUGCCUUUACUUGCCGCUGUGCUUAUUAGUAUUAAAAUGCCUUAAUUGUGGUUCUAGCUAUUUAUCUAUCUUUGGUUUAUUAACAUGCUUUAAUUAUGGGAUUUGGAUGGAAUGAUGACGAGGUGGCCGAGUGGUUAAGGCGAUGGACUGCUAAUCCAUUGUGCUCUGCACGCGUGGGUUCGAAUCCCAUCCUCGUCGAGAUUUUUACGGCUUUUUAUUACGAGGGCAGUGGGUGAGUGAAUUCCAUUCUUAUUAGUAUUGCAUAAAACUGUAAAGUAACAAAGGAAUAUGAUAUAUAUAUAUAUAUAUAUAAUCAAAAAGUAAUCUUUCAGAGCCGAGGAUUGUUUCGCUAAACGGCCCUAAACCGUUUCCCAUUCAUUUUCAAUGGUAGUGCUAAAACACUACGGAUGCAAUAUUAUUUUGGCCACUGACGCUCUGUGGCGCACUUUCGCGUCUUGCACCGCCGGGUGAUUUUUACAACAGAGUGGUUUUUGUCAAAAACUCCGGUAAGCACCCAAUGACAUGUUUGCUUGUUUGUUUGUUCCCAAACUUCUCUCUAAAACACAUCGCUGGGUUAUUUGCAGGCUAACGUAUGAAUGAACAUGACCAUAAUUCAUGUUUAUGCUUGUACAUUUCAGUUGUUUUGUAAUGUUUUUUUAUGUUUACGUAUAGAUUCGGGUGUUGUUUGCUGAGGGAGUUAUUGGACGUUUAAGUUACCUUUUUUUGCAACCUUAAAUAAAAACAAAGGUUUUCCUUAUCAUAACCCUUAAGCAUGUUUUUUUAUAUUUUUGUAAAAGGGUAGCAACCUUAUUUUCUUCGUGUAUUGAUAACUAUUGUCAAAACCACGGUUUUACUACAGUAUCAAUGGUUUCACUAUGUUUUUUAAAACCAUGGUUAUUCCGUGGUAACCAUGGUUUUACUACAGUAAACUUUUUUUGUUUUAACUGCAAUAAAACCAUGGCUAAUUUUCGUAAGGGACAUCAUUGGUUGUAAGUUUUUAAUGUUUACUAAUGAAUGAAUGAUUUCUCCAGUCUCUUUUAAGCUAUGUGUCUAAAACUCCAGCUGCACCAGUGGCCUCAUCGGAGGACGACCAGCUGCUUGGUUUCGGCGCUCGUGCCAAGAGUACAUGGAGGGAGAUUUGGGACAGCAGAGCUGAUGGUUACGCUUCCUUUAUAAUGGGGGCAAAAUGUGUCCGAGGGACGCGGGUGUAUAAACUGCAACAAUACCUGCUGAAGCAGCAGCAGUCUGCCCGUCCGCGUGUGCCUGCCUCAAGUGCCACAUCUGAGCCCACAGAGAUGGAUGAAGAUGCUGAGCUGGAGAGUGCAAUGCUGAACAUCACCCCCUCCAAGCUACUGGUGCAAUCGCCAGCACAAUCUUCAUCAGUGAUGAAGAUGAACUGAUAAAUCCCUGUUCUGGAACCAUCUACUGUCCUUUCAAAACCACUGACUGGCACUAUAAACGAACUGCAUCUGUCUCCUGUGGAUGCACCAGCCCUGAAAACGCCUGUGCCCCUUCCUAAAGAGCUGAUGUUUCUUGUGCAGGAACCAUCGGCUUCUACACAAACAAAGAAAAGUGUUUCAGCCACAGCAGAGAGCAGUAUCUCUCGAGCGUGCAGGACACUUUCUUUUGAGGAAUUUAACAAA